GCUAUACAUGCAAGUAGAACGCUGAAGGAGGAGCUUGCUUCUCUGGAUGAGUUGCGAACGUGUGAGUAACGCGUAGGUAACCUGCCUGGUAGCGGGGGAUAACUAUUGGAAACGAUAGCUAAUACCGCAUAAGAGUAGAUGUCGCAUGACAUUUGCUUAAAAGGUGCAAUUGCAUCACUACCAGAUGGACCUGCGUUGUAUUAGCUAGUUGGUGAGGUAACGGCUCACCAAGGCGACGAUACAUAGCCGACCUGAGAGGGUGAUCGGCCACACUGGGACUGAGACACGGCCCAGACUCCUACGGGAGGCAGCAGUAGGGAAUCUUCGGCAAUGGACGGAAGUCUGACCGAGCAACGCCGCGUGAGUGAAGAAGGUUUUCGGAUCGUAAAGCUCUGUUGUAAGAGAAAAACGAGUGUGAGAGUGGAAAGUUCACACUGUGACGGUAUCUUACCAGAAAGGGACGGCUAACUACGUGC
rnacentral:rRNA from 1 species